rnacentral:rRNA from 1 species
AACGAACGCUGGCGGCAGGCUUAACACAUGCAAGUCGAGCGCCCCGCAAGGGGAGCGGCAGACGGGUGAGUAACGCGUGGGAACGUACCUUUUGGUUCGGAACAACUCCGGGAAACUGGAGCUAAUACCGGAUAAGCCCUAACGGGGAAAGAUUUAUCGCCGAAAGAUCGGCCCGCGUCUGAUUAGCUAGUUGGUGAGGUAACGGCUCACCAAGGCGACGAUCAGUAGCUGGUCUGAGAGGAUGAUCAGCCACACUGGGACUGAGACACGGCCCAGACUCCUACGGGAGGCAGCAGUGGGGAAUAUUGGACAAUGGGCGCGAGCCUGAUCCAGCCAUGCCGCGUGAGUGAUGAAGGCCUUAGGGUUGUAAAGCUCUUUUGUCCGGGAAGAUAAUGACGGUACCGGAAGAAUAAGCCCCGGCUAACUUCGUG